AGAACUAAGUUUAAUUAGUUUUAUAUCGUACACUAUAUCUCUGGAAUUAAAUUAUUUUGCACAAUUUUGAUACUUCUUAUACUUUUCCCAUUUUCAAGUGUAAACUGAAAAAAUUCUCCGAAUGGAUUUAGUCAGAACUUUUAUUUAUUGUGUUUUCAUGUUUUCUUUCAAUGGUAUGUAUGAAAUAGGCGUAUGUCACGGGGUGAAGCAUUAGUGGUGAUGGCGUAUGUCUGGCAUGAUAAACUAGUUAUUAGUGUUGAUCGUCAUCGAAACGUCAGUAAUAAUAGAUGCGACUCUGAGGAGAUGUUUAUUACUAAAUCACUACACAAAUUAUGUUUACGCAUCAGCAUUAAAUUUUUAUUUUGUAAUCAAUUUUUUGUUUUAUAAACCUGUGAUAUAUCUGUUGUAUAUCUUCGUUCAUAUUAGUGUUUAUAAAAUAAUUUUUUUUAUUAUUAUUGUAAUUAUUGUAAGUAAGGGAGGAUGGGUAGGAGUGAGCCAAGGGUAGGAGUAAAUGAUUGAUCCUACAGCUAAAACCGAAAAUUUUCACCAAGUCGUUACAUACAAACUGUUGUUAACACAAUCCAUUUUUUUUUUACCGCUUCUUGGUGCGGGUGUCUGUCUUGGUGCGGGUGUCUGUCUUGGUGCGGGUGUGUUUACAUUGUUAUCAACUCUUUUCUGUAUAAAAGUAAAUUUUUUGUAUUUUUUGAAACUUCUUUAAUGAGCCGGCUGUUUUGAGACAUUAGAUAGUGGUUAAAGUUUUCUAACAAACAAUGUAGUUUUUAGAAAAAAGUAUUUUACAUGCAUAAACCACGUACUUAUCGCACAUUUAUUGCUUUAAUCCAGUUGUACAGCUUUGGGAUGAAUGAGCUAUUCUUUCACGGAUAGGAGUGUACCGCGGCUUACUAAUACUUCACGUUACAAAAGUUUUGACUUCGGCGUAAAAACAUAUUUAAGUUUGACUUUUAUACCUUAGUAUAUCAUUAGAAAACUUGUGUGCAACAUUACAUUUAUUUUUACCAUAUGUUAUAACGCCUCGAGUCUAUAAAAGAACAACUUCGAAAGAAAAAACUUCUAGUAAAUAUAUGAAAGAAGCAUUACAUUUAAUCCAAAAAGGAAAAAGUAUUUAAGAAAUUGCAAUAACUUCAAAAAUAUUGCUACCUCGACUUACCUUCCCUGGAACAAGUAAAAGGCAGCGUUGCCAUUACGAAUUUGAGGUUGUGUUAGACUAUAUCAAUACUUGCUAAAAAUUAUUUUUAUUGCCAAUAUACUAUAUGCUAAUAUACUACUUUCAUUGCAUAUAAAUACUUUUAUAAUACCUUAUUAUUUGGAAAUUAUCAUUUGUCAUGACAGUUUUCUGUUUUGCUGUCAAAAUCAGUUGUUACUGAAAACGCUUUUUCUGGUAGUUUAUACAUUUUGUUUUAUUUUGUUAAAUGAGUUUAAAA